rnacentral:tRNA from 1 species
GGAUUGUGGCUCAGUGGUAGAGCGCUCGCCUAGCAUGUGUGAGGCCCUGGGUUCGAUCCUCAGCACCA